CCCGGUCCGGUAAAUAGAGCAUAAAUCUUCUCCUCCGUUCCUCGCUUCCGAUCAAAGUGUGCGGCAUCUCUGACCUCAUCGUCCCUCACUCUCUCAUAUUGGAGGAAUCAGAUACGAAUCGCGCGAGACGGCGCGAGCCUUUGAAAUUUGUACUCCGAAUGAAUCCUUCGAGGACCCGACGGGGUGUGCUCGCGGGAAGGAGAAUACGGGAUGUAAACAGUUUACAUGAUUUUGCCAGAAAAUCCUUGUGCCAAAAAGCCACCUGAUCAUUAUAACGAUUUCCAAGCUGGAUUCUAUUUAAAAAUGCAAUAAUUGAGAGUGACAGUGAGAAAAUUAUCGCAAUACGAUACGAUACGGGUAAGUAGGGCAAGGUAAGAGCACAAUGUAAUUUUAGCCAGUCAUGAAGCAGAUUAAGGCAAGGUACAAUGUUGUUUUCGCAUGUCAAGAAACAGAUCAAGGCAAUGCAUAAUGUCGAUUGUUCCGGGGAACCGGGCAUCGCAGAGGAGAGGAGGUCAACUCAAGUCGGAUUAUGCUUAACAAAUAUUAAGGAAUUUGUGCGCCCGAUCAAGGCAUCCACAAAAGAAUUAAUCACAUCCGAAUGGCUUGUUAGGCAAUUCGCGGAUCUAUCUCAGACUAUCUGAUACCCACUCCAGCUAACUUCAGAAUAGAUUGGAGUGGUCUGAAGAUUUUCAAAAAAGGAUUUGAUGAUUAAAGUAUUUGAUCCUGUUUGAAAAUUGUAAAGAUGACGCGCUGGGUACGGUGGAUUGGUGGUUGACUGAUAGAAGACCUUUUACUCUACGGAAAAGCUUCCUUCUGCUCCUGCGCACACGGAAACGAGCCAACAAAACGUCAGCGCCCAGAAACCAGGGGAGUCCUUGGCGACCGAUAAAUGAAGAACAGUAAGAAACGUGCAUCUCAAAGUGGAGUUGCUGAUAUUCAGAAAACAUACCUUCACUACUGAAAGGAUUUUCCCUUUAUAUAUCACUUCUUAGAACCUUCACAAUCAUGAGGUGUGACAAAGUGUAUAAGAGUUUGUUAGGCAAUGCACAAUAAUUAUCU